rnacentral:lncRNA from 10 species
GGAAAAGUGAGUACCGGCUAGUAUCGCGAGAUCAGGAAGGUGGCCGAGUGUGUCGCCGCGGCCAUCAGGGGGGUUAUAGCCAUGUGACUGAUCUUCGUCCAAGAAUAUGUAAAGAAAAAGUGUUGAGUUGGCUUUUAGGGCUAGAGCAAUGUAUCUUAGGCUCACUUAAGGAAGCUGUAGAGAUGAGCCCAAGGAGGGAAACCAGAAGAGCCCCCCAGGCUCACCAGUUGUUUGUUGGCUCCCUACAAACAUGUCAUUCAAGUGGCUAAUCUUACAACAGCACAAAUUCAUCUAACCAGAGAUACUCUAUUAUAGCAAAGAAGAAAGAUAAUUUCAUUGAGCCAUCCUGUUUUACAGCACCCAACAGAAUCCCUUCAAAGCCUCGUGGUCUGACACCCUAUGCUACGUGACUUGUGACCCAUCCAUUUGUCAUGUUCUUCGGGAAUGUGGCUAAGGGGCUAAGAUGUGACUUGAAAAGAAAGGUAGAACAAGAUCAUCUCAAAUUUAUUAUCAAGGAAUAGUUCAGAAAACGACUUCAGACCACAGAGACAGCAGAACAGAUGGUCCGGCAUGGAUAGAGCAUCAGACACUCACAGACUGUGCCAACAAGAGCCAUCGAGUCAAAACAGCCAAAGGAAGGAGGGUCAUGGAAUGGGUUCUCUCACACCAAACUGAUGCCCAGAGGCCCUCAGCAUGAAUAACAAAGGCAACCAGACCCACAAGCCAUACUGAGUGGAUACAAAACCUAUACCUAGGCUGACAUCCCAAAUGUGUGUGGCAAGUUAGAUGAUGAUGGCACAAAAGACAGAACACCUUGCUUCUGGCCAUUGUCAGCUCUUGGAAGAGAGCACACUUUUAGAGGAGCAGCUGCAAGGAGCCUGAGAACAAAACUGGAAAUGUCUGUUAUGAAAGCCUUCACAGGAAAUUCUGCAAGUGGCAACGUGGGUCCAUUCCGUGUGUGUCACUAGAGCUGGCGCAAGCCCAUGGCCAUGGUGAGGCAGCGUUUCCACUGGAACUAAUCUGAUACCUGCACCAGCUCUUGCAACUGUGCAGUGUUCCCACUGCAAACUACGGAUGGGGUAAAAGACUGCUCACCUCCUAUUUCUCAUCUAAUCUCACACACUCUGUUUGAUGAGGCUAUGGAGAAACAGGUCUUCUCAUACACUAAAGGUGGGAGUACAAACAAUUCAAGCCCUGUGCAGGACAAUUAGGCAAUACCUAUCAAAAUUAUACAUGAUUUUUCCUGCUGACCCAGCAAUUCCACUUCUGGGAAUAAUUGACAGAUAUAGGUGCAUAUGUACAAAAUGAUGGAAAGCUCUCUGGUAUAUAUUAGUAAGUGAUAAAACAAGGUGUAAAAUAGUGUAUAUAUGGCUACUACCUUUUGUUUUAAAAAUGGGGGAAAAUGGUGGAGCUUGCGGUGAGCCGAGAUCGUGCCACUGCACUCCAGCCUGGGCGACAGAGCGAGACUCCGUCUCAAAAAAAAAACAGGGUGGGGUGGGGGGGAAAUAAUAGUACAUACUCAUAUUUACCUGUAUCUAUAUAAAACACACUAUCAAGGAUUCACAAGAAACUAAUACAAAUGAUCACCUUAUAGAUGGUAUGUAUUGGGGGAUACUGAGGUGAGCAGGGUAUAAGUGGGGCAAGACUUUUCAGUGUAAACUUCUUUUAAAUUUUAUUUUGAUUUUUGAAUAAUGUAAAUUAACUGUCAAAUAAUUAAAUUAAAAAUAACCAAUUUAUUAACAAAA